rnacentral:rRNA from 1 species
UGGGGAAUUUUGGACAAUGGGGGCAACCCUGAUCCAGCGACGCCGCGUGGAGGACGAAGGUCUUCGGAUUGUAAACUCCUUUAGGUGGGGAAGAAAAAAAUGACGGUACCCACAGAAUAAGCCACGGCUAACUUCGUGCCAGCAGCCGCGGUAAUACGAAGGUGGCGAGCGUUACUCGGAAUUACUAGGCGUAAAGCGUAUGUAGGCGGUCAGAUAAGUCUCAAGUGAAAUUUCCCGGCUCAACCGGGACAGGCCUUGGGAUACUGUUUGGCUUGAGUGUGGCAGGGGUAGACGGAAUUCCUGGUGUAGCGGUGAAAUGCGUAGAUAUCAGGAGGAACACCGAUGGCGAAAGCAGUCUACUGGGCCAAUACUGACGCUAAUGUACGAAAGCUAGGGUAGCAAACAGGAUUAGAUACCCUGGUAGUCCUAGCUGUAAACGAUGUUCACUAGAUGUGGGAGGUAUCGACCCCUUCCGCGUCGACGCUAACGCAUUAAGGAACCGCCU